rnacentral:lncRNA from 1 species
CACACAUUCUUCCUGGUUAAACUUGUUUUCUGGCCCUUUACUCAUAAGCAAUUGGAGGAAUAGUGGCCCCAGAGAAAUAUCAGAAACUGUUUGUUAUUAUUAAGACCUCAUUUGACCCUUGUUUAAGAUCUUCUUGGGAAGGAUCGCAUGAUGCUAGAUCAUAUUCUUUAUGGGAAUUAUUUGAUAACUACUUGAUAAAAUUUUUUAGGCUUAUAAUCAGUUGCUGUGGAUCUUCAGAACACUGAGAAAUAGAAAGAAAUAUGUUAUGUGAGUAGAUGGAGAAGAGAAAAUGACAAAACAAAGGAAGAAAAAGAAAGUUGUAUCUCUGUGCUUACCGAGUCCUUAUAGUAGAGGACAGCUUGGCUUAUACCAAGUUUCACUGACACAGUAAAGCAGGCAAAAGGAGCCAGCCUGGCACCAAACCAACCAUUCCCUCAGCUUCUCGCUUAUUCAAGAUGCUGCUCCUCAGGGUACCGGGACAGAGGGAAUGAUGUACGGUGGCAGCUCAUGGCCCUUGUCCUGAUGCUGCCAGGCUCCUCCCCAUGUGACACCCUUGUGACCAGAGUCAGCAUGCUCAUGGCAUUCCCUUGGACUCAGCCUAUUUUUCCCACCUCUGGGAUUGCAGCAUAAAUAUUUGGCAUUGGAAAGACUGGCAGCUUCAAGACAGAUCGGGAGGAUGUCCCAGAUGAGCACUGAACCAACAGUGCCAACAUGAGAGGAAAAAACCAUGCGAGCCCAGGGAGAUUUCUUCACUAUUUACCGAAUAGGGGGAAUUGUUUAUUUUCUACAUAUCUCCCAAAGAGUCC